rnacentral:rRNA from 1 species
GUGAGGAAUAUUGGGCAAUGGGCGAAAGCCUGACCCAGCCACGCCGCGUGAGUGAUGAAGGCCUUCGGGUUGUAAAGCUCUGUGGGGAGGGAAGAAAAAGCGGGAGAGUAACUGCUCUCGUGUUGACGGUACCUCCUUAGCAAGCACCGGCUAACUCUGUGCCAGCAGCCGCGGUAAUACAGAGGGUGCAAACGUUGCUCGGAAUUACUGGGCGUAAAGCGCGUGUAGGCUGACAUGCAAGUCGGGUGUGAAAUCCCAGGGCUCAACCUUGGAACUGCACUCGAAACCGCACGUCUUGAGUACUGGAGAGGGAAGCGGAAUUCCGGGUGUAGAGGUGAAAUUCGUAGAUAUCCGGAGGAACACCAGUGGCGAAGGCGGCUUCCUGGACAGUAACUGACGCUGAGACGCGAAAGCGUGGGGAGCAAACAGGAUUAGAAACCCGUGUAGUCC